CCCAGGCUCAGCUGCUCUGAAAUGACCCCACUCCCUGGGAGGGGGCUGCAGGAUCCAACUAUCCGGGAGGCCAAACAAGGAACGCCUUUCUUGGCAAAGGAGAAAAGGACCUGGGAGGCCUUCGCUCAGGUGACCCACCCGACCCCCAUUGCAAACAGCUAUAAAUCCUCCUGCUUCCCCACCACAGCAUUCCCGGGCACUCCUCUCACUGGAGCUGGGCCUGGCUCUGCAAAGCAUGUCACUGCUGGAUGGCCUUGGAAGGAAUGUUGUAAGUAAAUUCACAGCUGAACAACAGUGGGAAUGGAAACCCUCAGAGCUGAUGGCUGUGACAUUACAGGUCCUAAUCAGAGCAGAUACCCAUUCUCCACUCUACUGAGUAAUUAAACUUCACACUGCUGGAAGGCUCCCUGUGUUGGGCUGUGCUAUGUUACACUGACAAACAUGCACAGCAUUUCCAAAAGACAGAAUUAUCCUGAGAGACUAACAUCACCAGUCAGCUUAAAAUUUGACUGAUCAUCUGUAACAGAGUCUCGUUAACUGGUUUUCACAGAUGAGUAAGAACAGAUACUGCUGGGGUUUUUAAUUGCUACCAUCAAGCUUAAUUGGAGGUUCAAGCUGAAUGAGUGUAAGUAUACAGAGGCGGGUGUGGGAAUGUGUCCCAGAUUGCACCCACCACAUUCUUCUGGUUGUCUCUGGAAGGAGAUACCAUCAUUAUAGUAACCAUCCUUAGCCUUCCCACAGGUUUUUGGCUCGAUGGAGCCCAGAGCCUCCCUUCCCCACCUGCUGUGGACAGCCAGCAAUAACGUGUGGGAAGCUGACACUGCUCCCACCCUGUUCCUCUAGUUUGUACACACAGCAGCUUCCACAAACAGAAUGAAAUCCACAUGGAAACAUCCACCAGGAAAAAAAAAUCUCUGACAUGGAAGAGAUUGCACUGCCAAGGGGACUAGGAGCACAGAGAGGAAGAGAGCUGCUGCUGAAUUCCUGGUGUUAGGAGCAGACCCAUGUGUCAUGCUUGUGGGGAGGGAUACCUUCUCUCAUCCCAAACUGUUAUAGUACAUCCAGCAGCAAGUGCACCAGUGAUCUUGGCAAGUAUGUGUGGCCACCUAUCCAGAGAAGAAAAACACUGCUACAGACACUGAGCAGAAACAGCCUUUUGCAGGAAAUCGCCUCAAUUGCUCUUAAGAGGAAAAUGCACAAAUCUGAGAGGAACGUUUUGGGUCUCGAUAUCUGCAUUGUGUGUUGUUUUGCAGAUGAAUUCCAGGGGCAGAAGGAAGAGUGUUUAUUUAACUUUUAUCAGCAUUCCUUCUGAACUUCUUUCCGUUCUGAAUGAAAGUAAAAACUGAAAGAAUCUCCCAAGGAACGUGAUGGUUGUUGUAAUUACUGCUUUUAGCUCCCAUUUGUCCAGGAAGUGUGAAUCAUAAUUGCUCAUGUCACAGGGAAGCUCCAAACAAGCCUUUCUCUAAAUUUGUUUGUGGAAAUACUCACACUGCUUUACUUGCACAUCUCUCCUCUGGCAGGAAGGGAGCAGAAGCUGCCCUGCACUUCAUGUGUCAUCUGUAGCUAUUCUGUAAGAAAUACAUUACUGACCAAAACAGGGAUGGGACUGUGGUCAGUCCCAGGACCCUCUGUGCUUUGUUUCUCCUGUCAUUUCCAUAGGUAUCCCUUCUUUAAAAUCAAUAGAAACAGCCAAGUUGCAUCCCAAAGGGGAGUCAAGUAUUGCUAUUCCCAGUGCAGGCUCAGGGACACUGAACGUAAUACUGCCUGCUUCAACAGAACGAUUACUGUGCUUUGGUCAUGCAUGAGCAAGUUGAUUUAAGUGUAUAUGUUUGGUUCUAACCCACCCUUAAUACAUUAUAUAUUUUUUCCAGCUUUGAGAUGUUUGUACAGCACCUGGCACAGCUAAACUGAAGCCACUGCUCAGAGGGGCUGGGACCAAUGCCAUCUAUAUAAAUACUGGAAUAAUUGGGGUUAGCAGCACACUCAUGGCAGAACUCUGCCAGUUCACAUGCGUUCACAUGCAGUGUAUCACUGCUCCUUUCACACAGCAUGGAUUUCAUUAUCCAGGUGAAUAAUAGGAGGAAAGGGAGGGCUAACUUCUGAAAGCCAAGACAUAGAUAAGCAAGUUUGCCAAUGUUAGGAGGGGGUAAGCUGGUUUAGAGCAGUUACUUUGCGAAUCAGCUUGAAUCCCCUCCAAAGCCCUUGUGGUUUUG